UACGAAGGGGGCUAGCGUUGUUCGGAAUCACUGGGCGUAAAGCGUUUGUAGGCGGACUUUUAAGUCAGGGGUGAAAUCCCAGAGCUCAACUCUGGAACUGCCUUUGAUACUGGAAGUCUUGAGUAUGGAAGAGGUUGGUGGAACUGCGAGUGUAGAGGUGAAAUUCGUAGAUAUUCGCAAGAACACCAGUGGCGAAGGCGGCCAACUGGUCCAUCACUGACGCUGAGAAACGAAAGCGUGGGUAGCAAACAGG
rnacentral:rRNA from 1 species